GUGCCUGUGGUGUAGCGGCAACACAACUGGUUGUGGCCCAGUAGAGCGUGGGUUCGAAUCCCACCAGGCACC
rnacentral:tRNA from 1 species